UACGGAGGGUGCAAGCGUUAUCCGGAUUCACUGGGUUUAAAGGGUGCGUAGGUGGGUUGGUAAGUCAGUGGUGAAAUCUCCGAGCUUAACUUGGAAACUGCCAUUGAUACUAUCAAUCUUGAAUAUUGUGGAGGUCAGCGGAAUAUGUCAUGUAGCGGUGAAAUGCUUAGAGAUGACAUAGAACACCAAUUGCGAAGGCAGCUUACUACACAACGAUUGACGCUGAGGCACGAAAGCGUGGGGAUCAAACAGG
rnacentral:rRNA from 1 species